GACGUAGGGUGCAAGCGUUGUCCGGAUUUACUGGGCGUAAAGCGCGCGUAGGCGGCUCGUUAAGUGAGAAGUGAAAGCUCUGGGCUCAACCCAGAAACCGCUUUUCAUACUGGCGAGCUGGAGUGAUGCAGAGGUGGAUAGAAUUCCCGGUGUAGCGGUGAAAUGCGUUGAUAUCGGGAGGAAUACCCGUGGCGAAGGCGGUCCACUGGGCAUCAACUGACGCUGAGGCGCGAAAGCGUGGGUAGCAAACAGG
rnacentral:rRNA from 1 species